AUUUGGACAAGUGGAAGGCAGUCAAUGAAAAUCAGAAAGUCAAAGCCAAUUUGAACAUGCUCAAAGAAGUCAACCAAACAUGCAUCAACUUAGAAAAAUCAUAAGUCAAGAAUGGUGUAUGAUAAAUGAAUGGGACUAAAACCAUGGCAAAGAUGAGGAUGUCUAGUUAUCUCAUGCAAAAUUUCAUGUCCAUCUAAUAAAGUAUGAGAAUUUCACAAAUGAAAUGGGAACAUGUGUCACACAA
rnacentral:lncRNA from 1 species